rnacentral:rRNA from 1 species
AAUGAACGCUGGCGGCAGGCCUAAAACAUGCAAGUCGAACGCUCUAGCAAUAGAGAGUGGCGCACGGGUGAGUAACACGUGGGAAUAUGCCUUUUGGUACGGAACAACGUCUGGAAACGGACGCUAAUACCGUAUGGUCCCUCCGGGGUAAAGAUUUAUCGCCAAAAGAUUAGCCCGCGUCUGAUUAGCUAGUUGGUGAGGUAAUGGCUCACCAAGGCGACGAUCAGUAGCUGGUCUGAGAGGACGAUCAGCCACACUGGGACUGAGACACGGCCCAGACUCCUACGGGAGGCAGCAGUUAGGAAUAUUGGACAAUGGGCGCAAGCCUGAUCCAGCCAUGCCGCGUGAGUGAUGAAGGCCUUCGGGUUGUAAAGCUCUUUAGUCCACGAAUAUAAUGACUGUAGUGGAAGAAUAAGCCCCGGCUAACUUCGUGCCAGCCGCCGCGGUAAGAC